rnacentral:lncRNA from 1 species
GCUAAUGGUACAACUCUGGGAGGAGUAACUGACACACUAGAAGGCUAUGCUGCCAUUCAACAAGACCUUGAUGGACUGGAGAGUUGGGCAGAAAGGGGGGUUCAGCAAGGGUAAAUGUAAGUUCCUGCACCUGGGGAGGAAUAACUGCAUGCAUCAGUACAGGUUAGGGGCUGACCUGCUGGAGAGAAGCUCUGAGGAGAAGAACCUGAGUAUCCUGGUGGACAAGUGGUUGGCCCUGAGCCAGUGGUAUGUUUUUGUGGCCAAGAAGGCCAGUCGUAUCUAGGGAUGCAUUAAAAAGAAUGUGGCCAGCAAGUUGAGGGAGGUGAUCCUGCCCGUCUACUCUUCCUUGGUGAGCCCACAUCUGGAGCAGUGUCCAAUUCUGGACUCCUUGGUUCAAAAAAGGCAGGGAUAUUCUAGAGAGAGUCCUGCAGGGGGCCACAAAGAUGACGAGGGGUCUGGAGCAUUUCCCAUAUGAGGAAGGGCUGAGAGACCUGGGCCUGUUCAGCCAAAACUGAAAGAUGGUACUGUCUAUGUUUGGAAAUAUCUGACGUGCAGGAGACAAAUGGAUGGGGCCAGGCUUUUUCAGUCGUGUGGUGACAGAAUGGGGAGCAAUGGGUAAACACCAGAAGUUCCAUGCAAACACAGAAAAAAAUAUUUACUGUGAGGGUGAUGGUACACUGGAACAGGCUGUUUGGAUAGGCUGUGGAGUCUCCUUCUCUGAGGGUAUUCAAGACCUGUCUGGAUGCUUUCCUGUGCAACCUACUGUAGGGAACCUGCUUUAUCAGGAGAUUGGGCUCAAUGAUCUCCAGACGUCCCUUCUGACUACUGUGAUUUCUGGAGAAGCUGGCAGUCCGUGGCUUGGAUAGGACCUUUCAAAUAAACAAGGUUACAAUUGACUGGAGAAAUUUGAGAUUCCCUUUUGACAUGUCUGCUGGCCUCUAGAGGAGUUGUUCCUGGCCUCUUUCUUGAAGACCACAGAAGAAACAUUUUCUUUGACCCUGUAAUUCUUCCACCUGGCAGGUAGUCAUGACGAUGAUCUCUUUGCUGCAACUUCUUACACUGAUGUUGGUUUGUGUGAUGGCUGUUAGAUCAUUGUACUGCAUCAAUCAAGUAAAGCUGGCCAAGCUUGCCUCACCUUUCUAAACUGGUGGAGCAGUUUAUUUGAUCUACUGUUUUUUGUUUGUUUGUUUUGUUUUUUUGUGGAAUUGUAAAUGUGAACUGCAGUCCUGUGCCACAUUAUAUGACUAUUUAGUUUUCACGUAAGGAGUAAUUUUUGUUGUAUUUGAAGUAUUUUUGUUACCUGAUCCCAUAUUGUUCUUAAAAUUGGUUUUAUUUCUGUACUGGCAUAAAAAGGGUGAGAAAUAAAGUAGAGAAAUGGAAACAAAACCUGCAAUGUAUCAAAACCUUGCCCUAUUGGAGAAGCUGGUGUGACGCUGUGUCCCUGUGAGGUUGUAAAAGA